rnacentral:lncRNA from 1 species
ACCACAGGCUGGCAACACGGCAGCGUGAUGGACUGGGGCAAUUUGAACUCAGCAGCUGACUUAUUUUCUGUGGCUUUCUGCUUCUGCUGCUUCUGGUACUGCAAAGGCGUCAAGUGGUCAAAGCCGACAUGGGGCCCAGGGCCUUCUAUCUGGCUCAGAUUGGAAAUAUACCAUUAGCUGUCCUGGGCCUCGAGCUUGCCAACCUCAAAUCUUGGGACUUCUCUACCUACAUAAUCAUUCUUGCUCUAUCGCCAGGCUGGAGUGCAGUGGCACAAUCUUGGCUCACUGCAACCUCUGCCUGCCAGGUUCAAGCAAUUCUCCUGCCUCAGCCUCCCAAGUAGCUGGGACCAUAGUCUGGCUUCUCACUGCUGAAUUUUUCUGGAACACAUCUGGUCAUUGCAUUGGCUAGCCAAAUAAAGCCACCUCUGGAGAUGGUCCCCUUCCCACGUAACCCUCCAAGAGAAGUAGUAUAUCGGCUUCCUCUCGGAGUCAUAAAUGUUCUGAAUGGAGUAAGUCCUCAGAGAUUCCUUGACUGGAGAUGGAAAC